rnacentral:lncRNA from 1 species
AGAAGAUGUGGUACAUAUAGACAAUGGAAUAUUACUUAGCCAUCAAAAGGAAAGAAAUACUGGCAUUUUUAGCAACAUGGAUGGACCUAGAAACUACCAUGCUAAGUGAAGAGAGCCAUACAAUGAGACACCAACAUCAAAUGCUUUCACUGACAUGUGGAAUCUGAAAAAAGGACAGACGGAACUUCCUUGCAGAACAGAUGCUGACUCACAGACACUGAAAAAUGUAUGGUCUCCGGAGGAGACAGUUUGAGGGGUGGGGGGAUGUGCUUGGGCUGUGGGAUGGAAAUCCUGUGAAAUCAGAUUAUUAUGAUCAUUAUACAACUACAGAUGUGAUAAAUUCAUUUGAGUAAUAAAAAAAUGAAAGAAAAAAAAAGGAUACUUAAGUGCAGCAUUGUUUGUGAUAGUGGUUUUGGAAUCAACAGGACAAUCCAUGAGACAGUGGCAGGAUCAAUAGGGUAUAUUCAAACAAGUGAAUAAGAGGCAAUUGAUGAUAAGAACAAGGAAGUUCUUUGUGUAUGAAGAGAAAGGUCCCUAAGAUCUACUGUUAAGUGAAAAAGGCAAGGUGCAGAACAGAGUUUAUUAGGUAUCAUUCACUGAGUGACUCCUUUAAAAUUUUUAUUUCUGUGUCAAAAUCAGAGUAAAGGGCAAGAAAUUUUGUUUCCAAAGGGCCAGAGGGGACAAAUUAUAACCAGAUCUUCUUAAGGGGUAAGGCCUAAUCUUUGCCAAGACAGUCAGCCUAAGGACUGAAGGCAGAGUCAGGUUUUGUCGGAAGUGAGAGGGCCUUCAUUAAGAAAAAAUGUAAAAUUAAAAAUAUAAACUUUGACAUAGCAGUUCCCUGGGGGUGUAGCAGGUUAAGGAUCUGGCGUUGUCACUGUUGUGGUUUGGGUCACAGCUGCAGUGUGACUAUGAAGUUCCUGAUCCCCAAACUUCUGCAUGCUCUGGGUGUGACCAAAAAUAAAAUAAAAUAAAAAACCUGGCACAAAUGUGAAUAUUUAUUCAAAAUGAGAAAGUAGAGUUCCCACUGUGGCUCAGUGUGGGUAUCCACGAGGAUGGAAGUUCCAUCCCUGCCCCUGCUCAGGGGGUUAAGGAUCUGGCAUUGCCAUGAGCUGUAGUAUAGGCUGCAGAUGAGAGUCAGAUCUGAUGUUGCUGUGGCUGUGGCAUAGGCUGGCAGCUGCACCUCCGAUUUGACCCCUACCCUGGGAACUUCAGGGAUAGCCCUGAAAGCACUAAAUAAAUAAAUAAUAAAAAAUAAACAAAUGGGACCUAAUCAAACUUAUAAGCUCUUGCACAGCAAAGAAAACCAUAAAUAAGGAGUUCCCGUCGUGGCGCAGUGGUUAACGAAUCCGACUAGGAACCAUGAGGUUGCGGGGUCGGUCCCUGCCCUUGCUCAGUGGGUUAACGAUCCGGCGUUGCCGUGAGCUGUGGUGUAGGUUGCAGACGCGGCUCGGAUCCCGCGUUGCUGUGGCUCUGGCGUAGGCCGGUGGCUACAGCUCUGAUUCAACCCCUAGCCUGGGGACCUCCAUAUGCCGAGGGAGCGGCCCAAGAAAUAGCAACAAUAACAACAAAAGACAAAAGACAAAAAAAAAAAAAAAAAAAAAAAAAAAAAAAAAAAAAAGAAAAGAAAACCAUAAAUAAGAAAAAGACAACCUAGAGAACUGGAGAAAAUAUUUGCAAACAAUGCAACCAACCAGGGCUUAAUUUCCAGAAUAAACAAACAGCUCAUACAAUUCAGUAUUAGAAAAACAAACAACCAAAUUGAAAAAUGGGCAGAAGAGCUAAAUAGACAUUUUUCCAAAGAAGACAGAUGGCCAAAAGGCACAUGAAAAGAUGCUAUAUCAUUAAUCAUUAAUUAUUUGAGAAAUGCAAAUCAAAACUUCACAAGGGAUAACUUCACACGGGUCAGAAGGGCCAUCAUUAAAAAAUCUACAAAUGGAGUUCCCACCAUGGCGCAGUGGGUUAAGAAACUCCAACUGCAACGUCUUGGGUCACUGCUGAGGUAUGCGUUCAAUCCCUAGCCCAGUACUUUGAGUUAAAGGAUCCGGUAUUGCCACAGCUGUGGCACAGGUUGCAGCCACAGCUCAGAUUCAAUUCCUGGCCUGGGAAUUCCAUAUGUCGCAGUGUGGCCAUUAAAAAAAAAAAAAAAAAAAAAAAAA